GUGCUUGUUUCAGCAGCACAUAUACUAAGAUUGGAAUGAUACAGAGAAGAUCAGCAUGGCCCCUUUGCAAGGAUGACACAAAAAUUUGUGAAACAUUUCAUAUUUUU
rfam:Pteropus alecto contig64240, whole genome shotgun sequence.